GACGAACGCUGGCGGCGUGCUUAACACAUGCAAGUCGAACGGAAAGGCCCUGCUUUUGUGGGGUGCUCGAGUGGCGAACGGGUGAGUAACACGUGAGUAACCUGCCCUUGACUUUGGGAUAACUUCAGGAAACUGGGGCUAAUACCGGAUAGGAGCUCCUGCUGCAUGGUGGGGGUUGGAAAGUUUCGGCGGUUGGGGAUGGACUCGCGGCUUAUCAGCUUGUUGGUGGGGUAGUGGCUUACCAAGGCUUUGACGGGUAGCCGGCCUGAGAGGGUGACCGGCCACAUUGGGACUGAGAUACGGCCCAGACUCCUACGGGAGGCAGCAGUGGGGAAUAUUGCACAAUGGGCGGAAGCCUGAUGCAGCAACGCCGCGUGCGGGAUGACGGCCUUCGGGUUGUAAACCGCUUUCGCCUGUGACGAAGCGUGAGUGACGGUAAUGGGUAAAGAAGCACCGGCUAACUACGUGCCAGCAGCCGCGGUGAUACGUAGGGUGCGAGCGUUGUCCGGAUUUAUUGGGCGUAAAGGGCUCGUAGGUGGUUGAUCGCGUCGGAAGUGUAAUCUUGGGGCUUAACCCUGAGCGUGCUUUCGAUACGGGUUGACUUGAGGAAGGUAGGGGGAGAAUGGAAUUCCUGGUGGAGCGGUGGAAUGCGCAGAUAUCAGGAGGAACACCAGUGGCGAAGGCGGUUCUCUGGGCCUUUCCUGACGCUGAGGAGCGAAAGCGUGGGGAGCGAACAGGCUUAGAUACCCUGGUAGUCCACGCUGUAAACGGUGGGUACUAGGUGUGGGGUCCAUUCCACGGGUUCCGUGCCGUAGCUAACGCUUUAAGUACCCCGCCUGGGGAGUACGGCCGCAAGGCUAAAACUCAAAGGAAUUGACGGGGCCCCGCACAAGCGGCGGAGCAUGCGGAUUAAUUCGAUGCAACGCGUAGAACCUUACCUGGGUUUGACAUGGAUCGGGAGUGCUCAGAGAUGGGUGUGCCUCUUUUGGGGUCGGUUCACAGGUGGUGCAUGCCUGUCGUCAGCUCGUGUCGUGAGAUGUUGGGUUAAGUCCCGCAACGAGCGCAACCCUUGUUCACUGUUGCCAGCACGUUAUGGUGGGGACUCAGUGGAGACCGCCGGGGUCAACUCGGAGGAAGGUGGGGAUGACGUCAAGUCAUCAUGCCCCUUAUGUCCAGGGCUUCACGCAUGCUACAAUGGCUGGUACAGAGAGUGGCGAGCCUGUGAGGGUGAGCGAAUCUCGGAAAGCCGGUCUCAGUUCGGAUUGGGGUCUGCAACUCGACCUCAUGAAGUCGGAGUCGCUAGUAAUCGCAGAUCAGCAACGCUGCGGUGAAUACGUUCCCGGG
rnacentral:rRNA from 1 species